rnacentral:rRNA from 1 species
GACGAACGCUGGCGGCGUGCUUAACACAUGCAAGUCGAACGGUGAAGCGCCUUCCUUUUUGGUGGGUGUGGAUGAGUGGCGAACGGGUGAGUAACACGUGAGUAACCUGCCCCCUUCUUCUGGAUAACCGCAUGAAAGUGUGGCUAAUACGGGAUAUUCUGGGUCUGUCGCAUGAUGGGUCUGGGAAAGAUAUUGUUUCGGUGGGGGAUGGGCUCGCGGCCUAUCAGCUUGUUGGUGGGGUGAUGGCCUACCAAGGCGGUGACGGGUAGCCGGCCCGAGAGGGUGGACGGUCACACUGGGACUGAGACACGGCCCAGACUCCUACGGGAGGCAGCAGUGGGGAAUAUUGCACAAUGGGCGCAAGCCUGAUGCAGCGACGCCGCGGGAGGGAUGGAGGCCUUCGGGUUGUGAACCUCUUUCGCCAGUGAAGCAGGCCUGCCUCGUUUGUGGGUGGGUUGACGGUAGCUGGAUAAGAAGCGCCGGCUAACUACGUG